GAAUACUUGAACAGAAGUAUCUCAUCUGUAGACUGCUUCUUGCCAGAAGUCAAGCUUGGUUGGGCCUGGUUAGUAUUUGGAUGGAAGACCAUCAGGAAAUCCCAUGGCUGUAUGCC
rnacentral:rRNA from 1 species